CGGACCGGCGCACGGGUGAGUAACGCGUAUGCAACUUGCCUAUCGAGAGGGGGAUAACCCGGCGAAAGUCGGACUAAUACCGCAUGAAGCAGGGGCCCCGCAUGGGGAUAUUUGCUAAAGAUUCAUCGCUGAUAGAUAGGCAUGCGUUCCAUUAGGCAGUUGGCGGGGUAACGGCCCACCAAACCGACGAUGGAUAGGGGUUCUGAGAGGAAGGUCCCCCACAUUGGUACUGAGACACGGACCAAACUCCUACGGAAGGCAGCAG
rnacentral:rRNA from 1 species